rnacentral:rRNA from 1 species
AUACGGAGGGUGCAAGCGUUGUCCGGAUUUAUUGGGUUUAAAGGGUGUGUAGGCGGUGUAUUAAGUCAGUGGUGAAAGCCUGCGGCUCAACCGUAGAACUGCCAUUGAUACUGACACACUUGAGUAUGGACGAGGUAGGCGGAAUUUAUGGUGUAGCGGUGAAAUGCAUAGAUACCAUAAAGAACACCGAUAGCGAAGGCAGCUUACUAGGCCAUAACUGACGCUGAGGCACGAAAGCGUGGGGAGCGAACGGGAUUAGAAACCCUAGUAGUCC